rnacentral:rRNA from 1 species
GACGAACGCUGGCGGCGUGCUUAACACAUGCAAGUCGAACGGAAAGGCCCUGCUUUCGUGGGGUGCUCGAGUGGCGAACGGGUGAGUAACACGUGAGUAACCUGCCCUUGACUUUGGGAUAACUUCAGGAAACUGGGGCUAAUACCGGAUAGGAGCUCCUGCUGCAUGGUGGGGGUUGGAAAGUUUCGGCGGUUGGGGAUGGACUCGCGGCUUAUCAGCUUGUUGGUGGGGUAGUGGCUUACCAAGGCUUUGACGGGUAGCCGGCCUGGGAGGGUGACCGGCCACAUUGGGACUGAGAUACGGCCCGGACUCCUACGGGAGGCAGCAGUGGGGAAUGUUGCACAAUGGGCGGAAGCCUGAUGCAGCAACGCCGCGUGCGGGAUGACGGCCUUCGGGUUGUAAACCGCUUUCGCCUGUGACGAAGCGUGAGUGACGGUAAUGGGUAAAGAAGCACCGGCUAACUACGUG